CAGUUGCAAGUCGAGCGAAGCACUUCCCUUGGAUUUCUUCGGAGAAAAGAGUGUNGUGACUGAGCGGCGGACGGGUGAGUAACGCGUGGGUAACCUGCCUCAUAGGGGGGGAUAACAGUCAGAUUUGGCUGCUAAUACCGCAUAAGACCGCAGUACCGCAUGGUACNGUGGUAAAAACUCCGGUGGUAUGAGAUGGACCCGCGUCUGAUUAGCUGGUUGGUAAGGUAACGGCUUACCAAGGCGACAACUCAGUAGCCGGCCUGAGAGGGCGACCGGCCACAUUGGGACUGAGACACGGCCCAAACUCCUACGGGAGGCAGCAGUGGGGAAUAUUGUUGAAAUGGGGGAAACCCUGAUGAUUCGACGCCGCGUGAAGGAUGAAGUAUUUCGGUAUGUAAACUUCUAUCAGCAGGGAAGAAAAUGACGGUACCUGACUAAGAAGCCCCGGCCUGCUACGUGCCAGCAGCCGCGGUAAUCGGUAGGGG
rnacentral:rRNA from 1 species